GAAGAAGCACCGGCUAAUUUCGUGCCAGCAGCCGCGGUAAUACGAAGGGGGCUAGCGUUGUUCGGAAUUACUGGGCGUAAAGCGCGCGUAGGCGGAUUAGAAAGUUGGGGGUGAAAUCCCAGGGCUCAACCCUGGAACUGCCUCCAAAACUACUAGUCUAGAGUUCGAGAGAGGUGAGUGGAACUCCGAGUGUAGAGGUGAAAUUCGUAGAUAUUCGGAAGAACACCAGUGGCGAAGGCGGCUCACUGGCUCGAUACUGACGCUGAGGUGCGAAAGUGUGGGGAGCAAACAGGAUUAGAUACCCUGGUAGUCCACACCGUAAACGAUGAAUGCCAGUCGUCGGCGCGCAUGCGUGUCGGUGACACACCUAACGGAUUAAGCAUUCCGCCUGGGGAGUACGGUCGCAAGAUUAAAACUCAAAGGAAUUGACGGGGGCCCGCACAAGCGGUGGAGCAUGU
rnacentral:rRNA from 1 species